GAUGAAGAACGUAGUGAAAUGCGAUACUUGGUGUGAAUUGCAGAAUCCCGUGAACCAUCGAGUCUUUGAACGCAAGUUGCGCCCGAAGCCAUUAGGCCGAGGGCACGCCUGCCUGGGCGUCACACGUCGUUGCCCCCCCAUCUACUCCUUCGGGAUUGCGGGGGGCGGAUGAUGGCCUCCCGUGCGCCUCGUCGCGCGGUUGGCAUAAAUGCCAAGUCCUCGGCGACGCACGCCACGACAAUCGGUGGUUGCGAAACCUCGGUUGCCCGUCGUGUGCGGUCGUCGCGCAUCGAGGGCUCGAAAAAAUUGUCGGGCUCCGGCUCGGCUUUCAACGCGACCCCAUGUCAGGCGGGGUUACCCGCUGAAUUUAAGCAUAUCAAUAAGCGGAGGA
rnacentral:misc_RNA from 1 species